rnacentral:rRNA from 1 species
GCUGAUCAGUGGCGAACGGGUGAGUAGCAUUUGAGUAACCUGCCCCUGACUCCGGGAUAAGCCUGGGAAACUGGGUCUAAUACCGGAUAUGCACCGUGGACCGCAUGGUUCUUGGUGGACCGAUUUUUUGGUCAGGGAUGGACUCGCGGCCUAUCAACUUGUUGGUGAGGUAAUGGCUCACCAAGGCGACAACGGGUAGCCGGCCUGAAAGGGUGACCGGCCACACUGGGACUGAAACACGGCCCAAACUCCUACGGGAGGCAGCAGUGGGGAAUAUUGCACAAUGGGCGAAAGCCUGAUGCAGCGACGCCGCGUGAGGGAUGACGGCCUUCGGGUUGUAAACCUCUUUCAGUAGGGAAGAAGCGAAAGUGACGGUACC